CAGUCUCAGACAGGACACAGCAUGGACAUGAGGGUCCCCGUGCAGCUCCUGGGGCUCCUGCUGCUCUGGCUCCGAGGUGCCAGAUGUGACAUCCAGAUGACCCAGUCUCCAUCCUCCCUGUCUGCAUCUGUAGGAGACAGAGUCACCAUCACUUGCCGGGCGAGUCAAGGCAUUAACAAGGAGUUAAGCUGGUAUCAGCAGAAACCAGGGAAAGCCCCUACACUCCUGAUCUAUGCUGCAUCCAGUUUGCAGACGGGGGUCCCAUCUCGGUUCAGCGGCAGUGGAUCUGGGACAGAUUUCACUCUCGCCAUCAGCAGCCUGCAGCCUGAAGAUGUUGCAACUUAUUACUGUCUACAGGAUUAUACUACCCCAUCCACAGUGUUACAAGCCAUAAUAAAAACCCCCAGGGAAGCAGAUGUGUGA